CCUACGGGAGGCAGCAGUGAGGAAUAUUGGUCAAUGGACGAGAGUCUGAACCAGCCAAGUAGCGUGAAGGAUGACUGCCCUAUGGGUUGUAAACUUCUUUUAUAUGGGAAUAAAAUGUUCCACGUGUGGGAUUUUGUAUGUACCAUAUGAAUAAGGAUCGGCUAACUCCGUGCCAGCAGCCGCGGUAAUACGGAGGGUCCGAGCGUUAUCCGGAUUUAUUGGGUGUAAAGGGAGCGUAGGUGGAUUGUUAAGUCAGUUGUGAAAGUUUGUGGCUCAACCGUAAAAUUGCAGUUGAAACUGGCAGUCUUGAGUACAGUAGAGGUGGGCGGAAUGCGUGGUGUAGCGGUGAAAUGCUUAGAUAUCACGAAGAACUCCGAUUGCGAAGGCAGUUCACUGGACUGCAACUGACACUGAGGCUCGAAAGUGUGGGUAUCAAACAGGAUUAGAUACCCUAGUAGUC
rnacentral:rRNA from 1 species